GGGUCAGUAGGUUGGUCGUGCCACUGGUACGUACUGGUCUCACUGAUUCCUCCUUUCUGAAGAGCCGUAAUGCCAUUAAUUUGGUGUUGCGGGGAAACAGGACUGUUACUUUGAAAAAAUUAGAGUGUUUAAAGCAAGCUAACGCUUGAAUACAUUAGCAUGGAAUAAUGAAAUAGGACGAUCGAUCCUAUUUUGUUGGUUUCUAGGAUUGACGUA
rnacentral:rRNA from 1 species